rnacentral:lncRNA from 1 species
CAUGAGUGCACCAGCUCCAGGUGGUAUGCCUCCCAACAACUUUAAUCCCAGCAUGCCUCCUCACAACCGCCAAGGCGAUUAUCCAGGAGGACCACCACCUCCGAACAAUUUUAACAGACCACCACCGCCACCACCGCACAACUACAGCGGACCACCACCACCACCACCACACAACUUCAGCGGACCACCACCACCACCACCACACAACUUCAGCGGACCACCACCACCACCACCGCACAACUUCAACGGACCACCACCACCACCACCGCACAACUUCAACGGACCACCACCACCACCGUACAACUUCAACGGGCCACCACCUCCUCCACCAAACAACUUCAACGGACCACCACCUCCUCCACCGAACAACUUCAACGGACCACCACCACGCAACUAUGCUUCAGCAUCACCAAAUCACGGAGGAGGAGGAGGAGGAGCACCCCACAACUAUGGGGGGCCACAGGAAAACAACUAUUGGGGAGCACAGCAGCCAAACAACUAUGGUGGACCUUCAAACUCUGGCCGGGGAC